rnacentral:tRNA from 1 species
GCCAGUGUGGCACAGUGGUUUGGGUGUUGGACUGCGACUCUGGAGACCAGGGUUCAAGUCCCCACUUGGCCA